rnacentral:rRNA from 1 species
AUUGAACGCUGGCGGCAGGCCUAACACAUGCAAGUCGAACGAGUGGCGGACGGGUGAGUAAUGUCUGGGAAACUGCCCGAUGGAGGGGGAUAACUACUGGAAACGGUAGCUAAUACCGCAUACCAUCGGAUGUGCCCAGAUGGGCUUAGCUAGUAGGGGGGGUAAAGGGCCACCUAGGCGACGAUCCCUAGCUGGUCUGAGAGGAUGACAGGCCACACGGGAACUGAGACACGGUCCAGACGCCUACGUGAGGCAGCAGAGGGGAAUAUUGCACAAUGGGCGGAAGCCUGAUGCAGUCAUGGCGCGUGUAUGAAGAAGGCCUUCGGGUUGUAAAGAACUUUCAGCGGGGGGGCGUUACCCGCAGAAGAAGCACCGGCUAACUCCGUGCCAGCCGCCGCGGUAAUAC